AAAACAGAAGAAGAACAUUUGUCAAAGAUCAGACGCUUCAUUUCUGUCACCUUCAAAGUCAGAAGUGCGAAAAAGUUGUCGAGUGGGUUAUUGCAAAAAAAAAUAGAAGUAAUAAUUAUUGUAUAUAUUGCAAAAAGAUCGUAUGCGGAAAAUGCGCAAACAACAUUCAGUAUAUUUGCGAAAAAUGUGCUCAAUAGAUAUGAUUACCCUGUACCAUUAAUAUCAUUGUUAUUUUUUUAGUGAUAAUUUAAAAAAAGACUUUUUAUUUAUUAAUAAUUUAUUUAAAUGUGAAGCUUAAUAUUGCUCCUUUCAGACUUAAUUUGAAUAAAUCGAUUUUUUAGAGAAAAAUGUGUAUUUUCGUUUACCCGUCAAUUUGACGGGUCCCGUAGAGGUAGAUAUACUACAUACAGAUUUCAAAAAUUAGAAAGCCUAG